rnacentral:rRNA from 1 species
UGCAAGUCGUACGAGAAGGCCCACUGAAGCAGAUUGAAGUGGAGUGCUGCACAAGAUGGAUUCAGUGGACGUGGAUUCUCCUUCUAGUGGCAAACGGGUGAGUAACACGUGGGUACCUACCUCUAAGAUUGGGAUACCGGUUGGAAACGAUUGUUAAUACCAAAUGUUAUCUACGGAUUAAAGGUGCCCUUAAAGCACCGCUUAGAGAUGGGCCUGCGGCGCAUUAGCUAGUUGGUGAGGUAACGGCUCACCAAGGCGACGAUGCGUAGCCGAACUGAGAGGUUGAUCGGCCACAUUGGGACUGAGACACGGCCCAGACUCCUACGGGAGACAGCAGUUAGGAAUAUUCGUCAAUGGGGGGCAACCCUGAACGAGCAAUGCCGCGUGAGUGAUGACGGUCCUCCUGGAUUGUAAAACUCUGUUGUUUAGGAAAAACUGCACAUAUAGGAAAUGAUAUGUGUUUGAUGGUACUAUUCAAGAAAGCCACGGCUAACUACGUGCCAGCAGCCGC